GUCAACAGUAGUGCACUACCCUAUUGGACCCUGGUCAACAGUAGUGCACUACCCUAUGGGCCCUGGUCCAAAGUAGUGCACUACCCUAUUGGACCCUGGUCAAAGUAGUGCACUAUGAAGGGAACAGGCUGCCAUGUGGGAUGCAUGCUAUAUCAUGGUGAUACAGUCCAACAGAUCAGUGGAUUGUUGUGAUGACAGCAGUCCUGCAAGGAAACAGAAUGGUUCUUCUGAUACCUGGAUGAUGUCUACCAACCCCCUGGAUGAUGUCUCCCUUGGGGUUCAUAUUCAACCCCCUGGAUGAUGUCUCCCUUGGGGUUCAUAUUCAAACUCUGGAUGAUGUCUACCUUGGGGUUCAUAUUCAACCCCCUGGAUGAUGUCUCCCUUGGGGUUCAUAUUCAAACUCUGGAUGAUGUCUACCUUGGGGUUCAUAUUCAAACUCUGGAUGAUGUCUACCUUGGGGUUCAUAUUCAACCCCCUGGAUGAUGUCUACCUUGGGGUUCAUAUUCAACCCCCUGGAUGAUGUCUACCUUGGGGUUCAUAUUCAAACUCUGGAUGAUGUCUACCUUGGGGUUCAUAUUCAACCCCCUGGAUGAUGUCUCCCUUGGGGUUCAUAUUCAACCCCCUGGAUGAUGUCUCCCUUGGGGUUCAUAUUCAAACCGCCUGGAUGAUGUCUCCCUUGGGGUUCAUAUUCAACCCCCUGGAUGAUGUCUCCCUUGGGGUUCAUAUUCAACCCCCUGGAUGAUGUCUCCCUUGGGGUUCAUAUUCAACACCCUGGAUGAUGUCUCCCUUGGGGUUCAUAUUCAACCCCCUGGAUCAUAUGUCCGUCUGUAUGGACCAGAUACUGUACGUCACAUAACUACAUCUCCAGUGAACGACACAUAUAUCCAAUGCAUGUCUUUGAGGCAUGUUCACCUGCCCAUUAGGUUACUGCUGCUGCAUUUCCCAUCCCGUUGCCUUUACUCACAUUCAAGUUACCUCAAUAUUUUAACCCAGGGGCCCGCAGUCAUUUUAUUUGGCCACACCCCCAAUUUAAAAAUACUGUAAAAACACCAGCAAAUCAGCUGCAAGAGAUUUUAAAUUUUGGAAACGUGUUCCAUAGUAUUCCCCAACACAUAACAGAGACACAUGUGAUCGUAUACAAAUGUAAAAGGCUUUGUUUUUUGUCAAAUAUAUGUGUUGUGGCUUCUUGUGGUCAAUUUUCAGUCUAUAAAUAAUUUCUAAUGAUGUUUUCCAAACCUCUGAACAUCUGCUGAAGAAUGUAAAAAUGUUCCUGAGGCUGAAUGUAGUGGAUGUUCCCCUACUGUAACCACCAGCUAACCUGGCUACAAGGUUGAGCUCAGUUCAGGAAGUACACUGAAAUUCCAAUUCUCUUCCAUAAAGAACAUUUGGAAUUAGGUUUACUUUCUCUAUUGACUGGAAUUGAAAUGGAAUUGAGCCCAACCCUGUCUGGCUGUAUCGUAUAAAAUACCCACUGGGUGAAAACUGGUUGAAUCAACGUUAUUACAGCAUUUCAACCCAAAAAAAUGACAUGUGAUGAAAUUCAAUCAAUGUGGAAAACGGAUUGGAUGAGAAAGUUAUCAACCAAUGGGAAUUUAGUCUAUUUUAUACACCCAUCUUUUAACCUAAAUCCAAUGUCAUCGUGACAUUUUUAGUUAAUUUAAUGUUGACAACUCAACCAAAUAUAAAUGAAAACUAAUGUUGAACUGACGUCUGUGCCCAGUGGGAACAUAGCCUACAUUAUACCACUGCAGCCCAUGUCUGUAAAACUGUGCUUCUGCUUCUUAUACUUCUGGAAACAACCACAGGGUCAUGUCAUGGAAUUUGUAACUCAUUUAAUUUGUCAGUUUUUAUUUUCAGGACAAAAAACAAUGAAUGUCUAUGGUAUUAGUUUUCUAUCUCCCUUUCAUGGAGCUGAUUGUUUUAAGCGUUUAGCUUUGAUAAAAAUAACAGCAAGGAGCACUGUUCUAUUCCAGAACACAGGUAAAGAACACCAAGGAGCACUCAGUUCUAUUCCAGAACACACGUAAAGAACACCAAGGAGCACUCAGUUCUAUUCCAGAACACAGGUAAAGAACACCAAGGAGCACUCAGUUCUAUUCCAGAACACAGGUAAAGAACAUCAAGGAGCACUCAGUUCUAUUCCAGAACACAGGUAAAGAACACCAAGGAGCACUCAGUUCUAUUCCAGAACACACGUAAAGAACAUCAAGGAGCACUCAGUUCUAUUCCAGAACACAGGUAAAGAACACCAAGGAGCACUCAGUUCUAUUCCAGAACCCAGGUAAAGAACAUCAAGGAGCACUCAGUUCUAUUCCAGAACACAGGUAAAGAACACCAAGGAGCACUCAGUUCUAUUCCAGAACACACGUAAAGAACAGCAAGGAGCACUCAGUUCUAUUCCAGAACACAGGUAAAGAACACCAAGGAGCACUCAGUUCUAUUCCAGAACACACGUAAAGAACAGCAAGGAGCACUCAGUUCUAUUCCAGAACACAGGUAAAGAACACCAAGGAGCACUCAGUUCUAUUCCAGAACACACGUAAAGAACACCAAGGAGCACUCAGUUCUAUUCCAGAACACAGGUAAAGAACACCAAGGAGCACUCAGUUCUAUUCCAGAACACAGGUAAAGAACAGAAAGGAAUUAUUUUCCAGAAACCAGCUAAAGACAAACUAUUCUGACUGGUCUGAAUGUUCACUUAAAAUAAAUCUUCCCUGGUAUUAGUUUCCACCACUAUUUAACAACACAUGUAUCUUAUUGUGUGGUUAAAUCAGACCCAGUUCUGAUUGUUAUUUUGUUGUGUUGAGCGAGAGCUCCCUUGGUGGGCUUCAAGCUCCCUUGGUAUCAGCGCUACUGUAUUCAUGUGAUGUGACUGAGCUGAAGGCCUGAGCUUCCCUUGCCUCCGCCUCACGUGGGAUCCUUUGUCUUCUAUGCCAGGUCCAUGGACGUUAUCGGCCGCCUUUCCCUGCUCAGACAUUGCUGGACUCAACCAAUGGUUGAGUGCCACUUCAUUGACUGUGCUGUCGGGCACCAGACCGAUAUAACAUGUGGUUAUCUGAUCGGUUAAACACCUCUCCAGGCGUUGUGAGAUCUGGAAUGCAUCAGCAACAUCUGGCCAGAUGAACACACCCAUAUAUAUAAAACGACAGGCCUCUGAGAUACGCUACCAUGGCAACCUUAAUUCAUACUGUCAGGCAGCCAAAGCUGACUAAUCACAGCAGCUUCCUCCUUUCCUAUGUUUGACAAGGAAUGUGUGUGAUUGGCUGUAGAGGAGAAAAGGUGGUGUUGUGGGCGUGCCUUAGAUGGGUUUUCGAAUAGAACUUACCUGGGCUGCGUUCAGCAGGGCACGACGUUGUGGAAUUGUGUCAGCUCUAUUCAUAGCAUUUCUAUCUGCAGUGUUCAGUGUAUUACAACCUGCUGAACGCAGCCCUGCUGAAGUUAGACUUCUGUAGACUGCAUUUUAAUCAUCCCUCUUAUCAUUUGUAUUGCAUGAAUGUUGAACAAUUUAUGUUCUGGAAAUAAUCUGGGAUUCACAGAUUAUUUAUUAAAAACAACACAUUGAAACUGACGUCUAUAACUUUCUAUAAUUUACAUUUUGAAAUGUAUUAGACACUGAUUUGAGAAGUGUUCAUAUUUUGACUUGGAGCAUUCGUUCCGAAUACAGACCCCUUGAUUUCCCCCCCACAUUAUAUUACGUUAGCCUUAUUCUAAAAUGGAUCAAAUACAA